AUGUCGAUCGCGCUGAAGAGCGGGCCCGGGCUGGCCGGCGGCGGCCGGUUCGGCCGCGCCGCGCGCUGCGGCGCCUACGCCUCGCCGCCGGCCUCGGGCGGGCGCGGCGGCUCGUCGGGGGGCCGGGACAGCGACAGCCCGGCGGCGGCGGCGCAGUGGGAGUGGGACGGCGAGGAGGUCGAGGGCGGCGACGGCGAGGUGCAGAGCAACUACAAGGGGCCCUUCGACACCAUGGACGCGCUCAACGAGGCCCUGCCCUUCAGGAAAGGAGUAUCCAAGUUCUACAAUGGCAAGUCCGGAUCUUUUGCGAAGCCCCCAGUUGCUGUGAUCCCAUCUCCCCCACCGGUGAAGGGCCUUCCGAAGCCAGAAACCCCAUCCCCCAGGAAGCGCAAAGGUCUUCUCCCAUUCAGUUUCAAGUGGGGCAAAGCACAGAGCAAAGAGGUGUACCCUGAAGAUGAUGUAGUGGACAGCCCCACGACUUGCAGGAGGAUGACAUUGUCUCCGGCCGCCACAAGCAGCUCAGGGAGCAACAGCGGCAGCGAUGAUGAAGCUCAGAAGCUGCCUUCCCGGCGCUCGCACAGGAAGCCUGGCAACGCCAUGGGCGCCUAUGCUUCCCCACCUGCUCCUCGUCCACCGGAGCUGCUGUUCCCAGCCCACACAAGAUCUCAGUCGAUGCUUGAGCUGCAGGACGUAUCGGAGUCGACCGCCAUGGUCUCCCCCAGGGACAAGCGCCGGAAGAACUAG
rnacentral:rRNA from 1 species